GAUGAACGCUGGCGGCGUGCCUAAUACAUGCAAGUCGAGCGAACAGACGAGGAGCUUGCUCCUCUGACGUUAGCGGCGGACGGGUGAGUAACACGUGGAUAACCUACCUAUAAGACUGGGAUAACUUCGGGAAACCGGAGCUAAUACCGGAUAAUAUAUUGAACCGCAUGGUUCGAUAGUGAAAGACGGUUUUGCUGUCACUUAUAGAUGGAUCCGCGCCGCAUUAGCUAGUUGGUAAGGUAACGGCUUACCAAGGCAACGAUGCGUAGCCGACCUGAGAGGGUGAUCGGCCACACUGGAACUGGGACACGGUCCAGACUCCUACGGGAGGCAGCAGUAGGGAAUCUUCCGCAAUGGGCGAAAGCCUGACGGAGCAACGCCGCGUGAGUGAUGAAGGUCUUCGGAUCGUAAAACUCUGUUAUUAGGGAAGAACAAAUGUGUAAGUAACUAUGCACGUCUUGACGGUACCUAAUCAGAAAGCCACGGCUAACUACGUG
rnacentral:rRNA from 1 species